ensembl:lncRNA
UGUGAGGCUGCAGGGUGUGUGAGGCUGCAUUGUGUGUGAGGUUGCAGUGUGUGUGAGGCUGCAGUGUGUGUGAGGCUGCAUGGUGUGUGAGGCUGCAUGGUGUGUGAGGCUGCAGGGUGUGUGAGGCUGGCAGUGAAAUGCUGAAUACAACAGGUGUAUCAGUGAAAUGCUGAAUACAACAGGUAUAGCAGUGAAAUGCUGAAUACAAGCCUUAACCUUAACCAACAAAAACAGUUAAAAAAAAAAAAAAACCUACAAAAAGUAACAAAUAAUUUAAGAGCAGUAAAACAACUUUUUAAAAUUUUAUUUAACCAGGCAAGUCAGUUAAGAACUAAUUCUUAUUUUCAAUGACGGUCUAGGAACAGUGGGUUAACUGGUCUAGGAACAGUGGGUUAACUGGUCUAGGAACAGUGGGAUAACUGG